rnacentral:hammerhead_ribozyme from 1 species
ACCUCACUGACGAGUGCCAAAUAGCACGAAACUCGAGUUCAGGGU